rnacentral:lncRNA from 1 species
GACAAAAAAAUGGAAUAGAUUUAUAGAGAGAUAUGGGACACACGUAAUAACUGGGGUGAGCGUAGGAGGACAAGACGUGGUUGUUGUGAGACAAGACAAGUCAUCCGAUCUCGAUACCGACCUCCUCCGUCACCAUCUCUACGAUCUCGGCGACCAACUGUUCACAGGCUCUUGUCUUCUCUCUACUCGCCGGCCUAAUAAGGUCAGCACAAUUUUAAGUUGUCGAUAAAGUCAGCACAACACAUUCUUUUGUUGUGUUCAUUAUUGGAGUUUGGUAUUGCAGUUUCCAGAGGCGUUCAAUGUCUUUGACGACAAAGAAACGGUCGCUUUCAAUAAUUUCUCGAUGAACUCCAAAGAUGUAAGUAAGUUUCACAGAAGCUAAACAACAUAUUGUAUGAUGAACAUUUUCAUCACUAGAAAAAGCCAUUUACAUUUUCAGGGGAUAACGGUUAUAUGCGCCAAAAGAGGAGGCGACGGGAGAGCAAAAAGCCAUAGCGAAUGGCUAAUAACAGUUCCCGAAAAGCCUGACGCCAUCAACUUCAACUUUAUUCCGAUCACAUCACUGCUCAAAGACGUCCCUGGCUCUGGUCUUUUAGCUCAUGCCAUGUCUCUCUACCUUAGAUGUAACUUCACUUACCUACUCUAACCUUAAUAUUUGACUAUUGAUGGGAGUAGUAGUUUUGAUUGAAGGAGUUAAUUUGGUAAUUUUGACAGACAAGCCGCCGUUAAUGGACCUACAAUACUUUUUGGACUUCUCUGGGCCUAGAACGUGGGCUCCCAUUCAUAACGACCUUCCGUUUGGCGCGGCGCCAAAUAUGGCUUCUGCGUAUCCAGCUCUUCAUAUCAACUUCAUGGGUCCCAAACUAUACGUUAAUACCACUCACGUACGUAUAUAUUUUACAUCCCUAGUUCUUGCUUGCAUUUUUUUGUAGUUCUUUCACAAAGUCACUUACAUUGUUAACUAAUUAUAGGUGACCACGGAGAAGAACCCAGUAACAGGAUUGCGAUUGUUCCUCGAAGGCAAGAAAUGCAAUAGGUAAAAAGUCAACCAAAGCAAAUUAACUUAAACUUGACAUUUGUUUUUAGAAAAUUACUGUGAUUAUUAAGCAAAGAAGGGACUGGCUAGAAUUUCUUGGUUAUCAAGAAUCAAGUCUAGAACUAGAGCUAAACUUGAAGAUAAUAUGGCUGGAAGCCAAACAUAAACUAGGCAGAGCCGCAGAGAAGGAACUAAUGCAACAGUUGUCUAGAUGAAGAAGAUAAUAUAUAUAUAUAUGGCUUGAAGUCUAGAAACUUUUGGUUAUCAAAAAGAAAAAAAAACUAGGUUUGAUGAUAAUUUGCGUAACGAUGCGAUUUGUAAUUAAAUAUCUCUUCAUGUGCGUAGCUAUAUAUCGAUAUAAUAUAGUAAUGUGUUAUGUUCAUCAGGCUGGCUAUACACUUGCAACACCUAGAAAAUACGAGGACAACUGUUGGUGAAAAGAUCACCGACAAUCAUAGAUGGAGAGGCUCCGACGAAAUAUCUGAUAGCAAUCGUUACUUCGAACCAUUAAACGGUAAGAAAUUCUCACACGUGUGUACAGCUCCAGUGAAGUAUGACCCAAACUGGACCACAACAACAACAACAAGCAAACACUCAAGCAACGUCGCUUACAUAGUCACCGGAGCUCAGCUAGAAGUGCAGAAACACGGCUCAAAAUCCGUUCUCCAUCUCCGUCUCCGUUUCACCGGAGUCUCUGAUCACUACGUCGUUCAGAAAGAUUGGGUCCAUGGACCAGGAACUUCCCAAAGAUCUGGAAUCUUCUCUUCCAUGAGCUUACCGUUGACUAGUGGGAGUGUUCAUCAUAAUAUGGUCACUAACAAAGACAAAAACGAGGUCGUUUUGGACUCUGGUGUCUACCCAAGAGGACCUCCUGUGCCGGCGAAUAACAAGAUCGUGAAAUUCGUGGAUCUUUCGCAGUUAUGUCGAGGACCUCAAAACAGUCCUGGUCAUUGGUUAGUCACGGGUGUUAGGCUUUAUUUGGAUAAAGGGAAACUUUGCUUGCAUGUCAAGUUUGCUCUGCUACAUCACCAACGCCUUCUUGGCGCAAGACAAGUCAUCCGAUCUCGAUACCGACCUCCUCCGUCACCAUCUCUACGAUCUCGGCGACCAACUGUUCACAGGCUCUUGUCUUCUCUCUACUCGCCGGCCUAAUAAGGUCAGCACAAUUUUAAGUUGUCGAUAAAGUCAGCACAACACAUUCUUUUGUUGUGUUCAUU